rnacentral:tRNA from 1 species
GCCCCUUUAACUCAGCGGUAGAGUAAUGACGUGGUGAGGCGUAAGUUGUCGGUUCAAAUCCGACAAAGGGCU